rnacentral:rRNA from 1 species
AACGAACGCUGGCGGCAGGCUUAACACAUGCAAGUCGAACGGAUCCUUCGGGAUUAGUGGCAGACGGGUGAGUAACGCGUGGGAACGUACCCUUUGCUACGGAAUAACUCAGGGAAACUUGAGCUAAUACCGUAUGUGCCCUACGGGGGAAAGAUUUAUCGGCAAAGGAUCGGCCCGCGUUGGAUUAGCUAGUUGGUGGGGUAAUGGCCUACCAAGGCGACGAUCCAUAGCUGGUCUGAGAGUAUGAUCAGCCACACUGGGACUGAGACACGGCCCAGACUCCUACGGGAGGCAGCAGUGGGGAAUAUUGGACAAUGGGCGCAAGCCUGAUCCAGCCACGCCGCGUGAGUGAUGAAGGUCUUAGGAUUGUAAAGCUCUUUCACCGGUGAAGAUAAUGACGGUAGCCGGAGAAGAAGCCCCGGCUAACUUCGUG